rnacentral:rRNA from 1 species
UACGGGGGGUGCAAGCGUUAUCCGGAUUUAUUGGGUUUAAAGGGUGCGUAGGCGGCUUUUUAAGUCAGUGGUGACAUACCCCGGCUCAACCGGGGGGGUGCCAUUGAUACUGAAAGGCUUGAGUACAGACGAGGCAGGCGGAAUUGACGGUGUAGCGGUGAAAUGCAUAGAGAUCGUCAAGAACACCUAUAGCGAAGGCAGCUUGCUAGACUGCUACUGACGCUGAUGCACGAAAGCGUGGGGAUCAAACAGG